rnacentral:rRNA from 1 species
CACGUAGGGGCCAAGCGUUGUCCGGAUUUAUUGGGCGUAAAGCGCGCGUAGGUGGCCCCAUAAGUCCGCUGUGAAAGUCAAAGGCUCAACCUUUGAAAGCCGGUGGAUACUGUGGGACUAGAGUACGGAAGAGGCGAGUGGAAUUCCUGGUGUAGCGGUGGAAUGCGUAGAUAUCAUGAGGAAUACCAGAGGCGAAGGCGGCUACCUGGACAAUUGCUGACGCUCAGGCACGAAAGCGUGGGGAGCAAAAGGG